UACGGAGGGAGCUAGCGUUGUUCGGAAUUACUGGGCGUAAAGCGUGCGCAGGCGGCGCGUUAAGACAGGUGUGAAAGCCCCGAGCUUAACUUGGGAAUUGCGCUUGUGACUGGCGUGCUGGAGUGUGGCAGAGGGAGGUGGAAUUCCACGUGUAGCAGUGAAAUGCGUAGAGAUGUGGAGGAAUACCGAUGGCGAAGGCAGCCUCCUGGGCUAGUACUGACGCUCAUGCACGAAAGCGUGGGGAGCAAACAGG
rnacentral:rRNA from 1 species